UUAAUAAGGCUGACUCCACAGGACUACAUUCC
rnacentral:piRNA from 1 species